UCCCUUGUGUCUCAGCUAGUAAAGAAUCCGCCUGAAAUGCGGAAGACCUGGGUUCAAUCCCUGGGUUGGGAA
rfam:TPA: Bos taurus chromosome 2, whole genome shotgun sequence.